GCAGAUUAAAAAAAAAAUUAAAUCCGAAAGGAAGACUAUACUGCCCCUUGUUGAGCCAGCAUCAGUUGCUGACAGUUAGGGCUGUCAGUUGCUGUCAGUUGCUGAGAGUUCAAGCUGGAAGUUGACUGCUGAGUCUGUGUGACCCUGGGAGAGUCACUUAACCCCCAUUGCCUACCUCUUACCACUCUUCUGCUUUGGAAUCAAUCCAAGAUGGAAGGCAGAAAUACUCAGAAGAGGAAAGAAGGAUCUGGACCCUUU
rnacentral:lncRNA from 1 species